ACCUCCUAUGUCCUGCAAGCAUUGUUUAAGAAUAACAAAACAAUUCUUAUCUACUUAACGUUCAAUGUUUCAAAAGGCCGAUAGAUCAAUGCUAGCCGACUUGGUGAAAAAUCAUACCACAUUACACCAUCAGCAAUACUCUUGGAGGUCAUCCUCACCACCAUUCUCAUGUCUCAAAUUCAAAACACAUUUAAAGUAUGAUGUGGUAUCCGAUGAAACCUAGAAAUUAUCAUGCUUCACAGCAAAAUAACUUUUAAGUAAUAAACCACCAAAAUUACUGAUAGGAAGUAACUACUCAUUUCAUGCCAAAAGCAGUAGCAAUAUGUGCUUCCAUAAUAAUAUUCUAACUUAUUUUUUUGACAAGUAAUCUGGCUAGCAUUUUCACAAAAAGGUUAGCCGCGAAAAUGAUCGACUAAAAUAACAUAUGAAACUUGACACAGAACACCUUAAAGACUUAGUAGCCUUUGAUGCUUUUUGGCUAUUAGAGAAAUGAAGAGAAGAAAAAGUGUGUGAUACGAGAUUUAUUUUUCUUUCUCUGUUUCUCAAAUCAAUCAAAAAAAUUGUGGACUGUAACAACUUUAAAUUUCGAUACCCGAUUUUCCUUCUCAAAUCUUACUAGAGUUUUAAGUUUAAAAUAUAAAAGUACUACACCAGUUAAGUAUUCAUAAACAUAUGAAUAACGAUAAAACACACACAAAAAAAUUAAUAUCAUGAACCGUAAAUAAGCAGAUCAAAAACAAAAAAAUAGACCAAAAAAUGAUCAGAUAUUAGAGAAAAGCACCGGCUAACAUGAUUCUGUUCGAGAAUUUGUGUCACAUAAUAGAAAAGACGAGACUGAUUGGGAAGAUGCUCUUUUGGACUUUGUGUAUUCGUGGUUUACAAAGAGGAAAGGUAUGAUUAGGGCAAUGAGAGCAGAUAUAUUAUCCAGGGAAGGAACAUUUAGAAUGAAAAACUUGGAGGGAAAUGAAAUAUUCUAAAAGGUUUGUUUCA
rnacentral:lncRNA from 1 species